GCCCCGGUAGCUCAGCUGGAUAGAGCUACAGACUUCUAAUCUGCAGGUCGGAGGUUCGAAUCCUCUCCGGGGCG
rnacentral:tRNA from 1 species